AGUAGAACUGCUUAAACGAAUCUUGGAAAUGCAUCAACUAAAAGAAAAAUCAGUAUCCUUAGGAUACAUUGCCCACACAGGAUCUGGAGUUGAGGGAGACGAUUGGCAUAGCUAAGAUCCUAGAAGGGCUCUAUUGCUUGGAAAUCGACAGUUCAAAGACUCAAAGUUACCUUGCUAUGAGGACUUCAUCUAUUUUUUCCGGUUCUUCAAAUAAAGAUCUGUUGUUAUGGCACUAUAGGUUAGGCCACCCAAAUUUCCAUUACAUGUUGAAACUCUUUCCUGAAUUCAAUAAAGAAACUUUAUCUUGUGAAA